rnacentral:rRNA from 1 species
UGGGGAAUAUUGGACAAUGGGCGAAAGCCUGACCCAGCAACGCCGCGUGAAGGAUGAAGUAUUUCGGUAUGUAAACUUCGAAAGAAUAGGAAGAAUAAAUGACGGUACUAUUUAUAAGGUCCGGCUAACUACGUGCCAGCAGCCGCGGUAAUACGUAGGGACCAAGCGUUGUUCGGAUUUACUGGGCGUAAAGGGCGCGUAGGCGGCAAUUCAAGUCAUCUGUGAAAUCUCCGAGCUUAACUCGGAACGGUCAGAUGAUACUGCUGUGCUAGAGUACAGAAAGGGCAAUCGGAAUUCUUGGUGUAGCGGUGAAAUGCGUAGAUAUCAAGAGGAACACCUGAGGCGAAGGCGGGUUGCUAGGCUGAUACUGACGCUGAGGCGCGAAAGCUAGGGUAGCAAACGGGAUUAGAUACCCACGUAGUCCCUGAGCGGGCUGGCAAGGCGCAU